GAUGAACGCUGGCGGCGUGCUUAACACAUGCAAGUCGAACGGUGAACACGGAGCUUGCUCUGUGGGAUCAGUGGCGAACGGGUGAGUAACACGUGAGCAACCUGCCCCUGACUCUGGGAUAAGCGCUGGAAACGGCGUCUAAUACUGGAUAUGUGACGUGACCGCAUGGUCUGCGUUUGGAAAGAUUUUUCGGUUGGGGAUGGGCUCGCGGCCUAUCAGCUUGUUGGUGAGGUAAUGGCUCACCAAGGCGUCGACGGGUAGCCGGCCUGAGAGGGUGACCGGCCACACUGGGACUGAGACACGGCCCAGACUCCUACGGGAGGCAGCAGUGGGGAAUAUUGCACAAUGGGCGCAAGCCUGAUGCAGCAACGCCGCGUGAGGGAUGACGGCCUUCGGGUUGUAAACCUCUUUUAGCAGGGAAGAAGCGAAAGUGGCGGUACCUGCAGAAAAAGCGCCGGCUAACUACGUG
rnacentral:rRNA from 1 species